rnacentral:lncRNA from 1 species
AUGUCAACUCAAUCAUUCGAUAAACCAAUUGAAAAAUUAAAUGAUUGCCACUUUGAACCAUUUCUUGAGCAAAACUUCCCAAAUCAGUGAUCGUAGAAAAGCGAGGAUGAUGGCGCACAAAUGCUAUGAAAUUACGGAGUUGUUGUUGAAGACAUAAACAAUCACCUGUUAAAAGUGCACAUUAAUAAGACAUUACGAAAUAAUUGUAAAAAAUAUAAAUAAUCACAUGUCGAGAAGUCUUCAGGAUACCAAGUAGUGAAACGCAUGAGUUGAUUAAUGUCGAAUUGAGAGAAAGAAUUUUUCGGAUCAAGACAUGCCAUGCACCUAAGUAGAUCGGUGCUAG